rnacentral:rRNA from 1 species
CGGAUUCAUUGGGUUUAAAGGGUGCGCAGGCGGAGUGAUAAGUCAGUGGUGAAAGCCUACAGCUUAACUGUAGAACUGCCAUUGAUACUGUCAUUCUUGAGUAUUGUUGAGGUAGGCGGAAUGUGUCAUGUAGCGGUGAAAUGCUUAGAUAUGACACAGAACACCGAUCGCGAAGGCAGCUUACCAAGCAAUAACUGACGCUCAUGCACGAAAGCGUGGGGAUCAAACGGGAUUAGAUACCCUGGUAGUCCACGCCGUAAACGAUGAUCACUCGAUGUUGGCGAUACACAGUCAGCGUCUUAGGGAAACUAUUAAGUGAUCCACCUGGGGAGUACGGUCGCAAGAUUGAAACUCAAAGGAAUUGACGGGGGCCCGCACAAGCGGAGGAGCAUGUGGUUUAAUUCGAUGAUACGCGAGGAACCUUACCUGGGCUCGAACGUGGAAUGACAGUCGCGGAAACGUGAUCUUAUUCGGACAUUCUACGAGGUGCUGCAUGGUUGUCGUCAGCUCGUGCCGUGAGGUGUCGGGUUAAGUCCCAUAACGAGCGCAACCCCUAUCUUUAGUUGCCAUCAGGUAAUGCUGGGGACUCUAAAGAAACUGCCUACGCAAGUAGUGAGGAAGGCGGGGAUGACGUCAAAUCAGCACGGCCCUUACGUCCAGGGCUACACACGUGCUACAAUGGCCGGUACAGAGGGCAGCUACCUGGUGACAGGAUGCAAAUCUCCAAAGCCGGUCUCAGUUCGGAUCGAAGUCUGAAACUCGACUUCGUGAAGUUGGAUUCGCUAGUAAUCGCGCAUCAGCCAUGG